rnacentral:sRNA from 1 species
UUUUGGGUUGAAGGAUCCACUCGCCUGU